rnacentral:rRNA from 1 species
GAUGAACGCUAGCUACAGGCUUAACACAUGCAAGUCGAGGGGUAACAAGAGAAAAGCUUGCUUUUCUUGUUGACGACCGGCGCACGGGCGAGUAACGCGUAUCAAACCUGCCCAUAACUAGGGAAUAACCUUGCGAAAGUAAGACUAAUACCCUAUAAUUUCCUUUGACGGCAUCUGACGAGGAAUAAAGAUUUAUCGGUAAUGGCUGGGGAUGAGUCUGAUUAGCUUGUUGGCGGGGUAACGGCCCACCAAGGCAACGAGCAGUAGGGGUUCUGAGAGGAAGGUCCCCCACAUUGGAACUGAGACACGGUCCAAACUCCUACGGGAGGCAGCAGUGAGGAAUAUUGGUCAAUGGGCGGAAGCCUGAACCAGCCAAGUAGCGUGCAGGAUGACGGCCCUAUGGGUUGUAAACUGCUUUUAUACAGGAAUAAAGUUAGCCACGUGUGGUUAUUUGUAGGUACUGUAUGAAUAAGGACCGGCUAAUUCCGUGCCAGCCGCCGCAGUAA